rnacentral:lncRNA from 1 species
AAGAGAGAUUUGGAUAUAGCUUUUCUUAUACUAUUUUCUACUGUGUUGGUACAUGAUAAAUAAGAGUCGUUUUCUGGUUGAUUUUGGAUUUGAUCAUUUGUGAUUGGAUUGUUUUUUCUUCCAAGUCAGUAAACAAAGUCAGUCAACCAGCCGCCCCUGCCCUCGUAUUGUAAUUCCACUCAUGCCCUCGUAUUGUAAUUCUACUAUAGGCUCUAUUUGUUUGUACUAUAGGCUCUAUUUGUUUGAUAGGCAAUAGGCACCCGCAUCUAUUCUACGAGUCACCCAUCUCUAUUUGUUUGAAUCUAUUCUACGAGUCAUCCAUCUCUAUUUGUUUUAUAGGCGAUAGACACCUGUAUCUAUUCUACUAUUUACCCAUAAUGGGCACCAAUAUCCAUCCAAUAUCUAUUAUAUACCAAUAUCCAUCCAAUAUCAAUUAUAUUAUACCAUCCGCGGCACCCACAUCUAUGUAUGACAUGACACCCCUACCCUAGCCUAGACUUUAGCAAACACCUUGAUACAACACCGAGAUCCUCUACAUCUCUUACCUCUUGCUCCGAGACCUUAGUCAACAACUACUGAUUCCACAGCUGACCUUGCAAGACCCAACAAAGACAGAUUCAAAAAGCAAGUAAGUAAACUACCCUCGCAUCAAAGCCAGAACAGUACUACCGGGAUGCAGACUAUAACUCUCACAGGAACAGGAGCAGGAGUAGUUGACAGAGCCAGAUCAGAUCAUAGGCCUCUAUAGUCAGUUGGGGAAGAAAGAAGAGAAUAAAGUACCGUGGGAGUAGCCUUCCCGCGUCUGUAGGUCUAAUAGAAGCCGGUAACUAACCUAGCAUUCCUACUAAUACAGAAAUAAUUAUACACUAAAGCAGAAUCAUUACCGGGUGUUCAAGUUGUCUAGGUUGGUGCUCUAGCUCUAAGUCUACGAGAGAAGAAUAGCCUGUUAUCAAGUCAAGUUCGGGUGCUAAAUCUCUGACUGGCUUUGAUCUAAGUCAAGAAGUCUCAUAUCUUUCUGUUCGAGGUAAGGAAGAAAGAGAAUCAUUUCA